rnacentral:pre_miRNA from 1 species
AGCUUUUCGAAUCCGUGCUGAGAUUUCGUCAGACACCACCUCGUUAGGGGUGAUCAGACUUCCGAGAUAAGUGAAGUU